rnacentral:other from 1 species
AGAGUCCUGGGGUGCGCGUCAUAACUCUAAGUUUUGAGCCAACACUUCAACAUUGGGAGUUUUUUGUUUCAUGAUGGAAGACAAGCCUCUACAUAAUUUUUGAGGAAGUCAGAAGUGAUGAACCGAACACCCACCUGCCUAGGCAGGUUCAAAGCAAGGAUGAUAAACGGCACUCAUGGGACUCUU